GUUGGGGUAGCCAGGAGGAAAGCAUGGGCAGCCAUAGAGAAAUGGUUAUUGACAUUUUCGAUUAUGUUGAAAUGUUGUAGUUGGGGAUGGAAAUUUCAGAAUUUUUGGUUCCUAAGCCAUGAUUCAGACACGGCAAAGACAUCAGGGUUAGCAGAGUGUGCUAAAGCAGUGAGUAAAACAAACUUAGGGAGGAGGCUUCUGAUGUUAACAUGCAUGAAACCAAGGCUUUUUCGAUUACAGAAGACAACAAAUGAGAGUGCCUGGGGACACACAGGGCCUGGGUUAGCCUCCACAUCACCCGAGGAACAGAGGAGUAGGAUGAAGGUACGGCUAAAGGCUAGCAAAACUGGUCGUCGAGUGCAUUGGGGACAAAGAAUAAAAGGAGCAGAUUUUUGGGCAUGGUAGAAUAGAUUCAGUGCAUAAUGUGCAGACAGGGGUAUGGUGGGGUGCGGGUACAGUGGAGGUAAGCCCAGGCCCUGAGUGAUGAUAAGAGAGGUUGCAUCCCUGGAUGUGCUGGUUAUACUGGGUGAGGUCACCGCAUGUGUGGGAGGUGGUACAAAGGAGGAAUCUGAUGCAUGUAGAGUGGGACUAGGGGCUCCACUGUAAACUGAUACAAUGAUAACUAUCCUAAACAACAGUAUACAUGGCAUAAAGCAAUCACAGGUGUUGAUUGGGAGAGCUGAUGCUCUCAACAACAGCUAAUCAGCUAAGACAACAACAGGUAAAAUGGUGUAGGGGGUCGGUUAACUACACACAGGGCCUGAGUUCGAGGCCGACAGAUAAACAUAAUAACAGAUAAACAUAAUAAACAAAGUGGAGUACUGUGAUAAAUGAACAGUCCAGCAGGCAUCAGCUAUGUAGCCAAGUGAUCAUAGGGUCCAGUGAACAGCAAUAGAUGGAGCAGGGAAGCCGCGGCAUAGUUGUUACUACAGUUGCACGUGGGAGACACGGCAUUUAAAGUUAGAAGGCCGGGGUAAGGAGAAGCGUCUGCGCCGACGUCCAACAAAGGCCGGUUGAAGGCACAGCGGAUGGAAAUACGUCUGCAGACCAGUCGUAGUGGUACGGCGGGGCCCCGUGUCGACGAAGGGACCGGAGAAAGAGGUAUUGCUAGCCGGGAGAUGCGCCUGGCUCAGGGCUAGCUUUUGGGCUGGGUCACUUGGUGGCUUGAUGAUCACGUGCUUUUACGCCUGCACUGUUUGCUGUUUGGUGUUUUAGGCUGUUUCUGUACAGCACUUUGUGACAUCAGCUGAUGUAAGAAGGGCUAUAUAAAUACAUUUGUUUGUUUGAUUGAUUGAUUGAUUAUUGUGGCAAGCUUGUGGAAGGCUACCCAAAACGUUUCACCCAAGUAAAAAAAAAAUGUAAAGGCAAUGCUAUCAAAUACUAAUUGAGUGUAUGUAAACUUCUGACCCACAGGGAAUGUGAUGAAAGAAAUAAAAGCUGAAAUAAAUCAUUCUCUCUACUAUUAUUCUGACAUUUCAUAUUCUUAAAAUAAAGUGUGAUCCUAACUGACCGAAGACAGGUAAUUUUUACAAAGAUUAAAUGGCAGGAAUUGUGAAAAACUGAAUUUAAAUGUAUUUGGCUAAGGUGUAUGUAAACUUCCGACUUCAACUGUAUGUGUGUGAGUGUGAGUGUGUGUGUGUGUAUAUUUUCAUUUUGUUAUUUUAUUUCCAUGCCCAACAUAAUUCAAUCUCCAACUGCAGUUCCAGCUCCCAUUCCAUCUCCAGCAGUCCUAGUGUUGUCCAUGUCUCUACCCAGGCUGCUGUGUAGUCUACUGGUGGGGUCUCCCUACCUGCUGGUCACCAUCAUACUGAUGGUGAAAGGCUGCAGGAGCAGGACUCAAGGGUAAACCAGGAUACCCAGGAAGACCCACCAAGACCAAUUAGGUGAUUGUGUUGAAGAAGAGUGAGGCUGAGUUCACCUGAUCACCAUAACAACCAUCAGAAUGGAACUCAUGGAAUUCUAAUAUAGAACUGUGAGUCACAAUGCUGUAUGUUGUUACAUUGUAGCUCCACCUGCUGGAACAAUAGUGGCAUUUGAUCAAAUGUGAUCUAUUAACUGAUACAUGUAUUAUUCUGAUUGGAAUGUGUUUUAAUAUAAUGUGUGUUGUAUUAAUCAUUCAGCAGCUGUCCUUUAACAUCAGUCAUAUACUGGUCAUAUACUGUGUAGCAUUAUGGUUGAUACAUUGUAAAUGCCUUCACUUCUCAUGUCUAUACAGAUCAACUGAUAGGUGUUGUGGUUCAGGCAUUAUUGUUACAGGUUCAGUAUAAUGUUAUACAGUUACAUGUUACAGAGAUAGAAAACAUACAGGAGAGGAGAAUUCAGUUAUUACAAUUAUUUACUUUAUUUUCCCAUUUUGGUCUCUAGAAUAGUGCAGCAUAAUUUUAUUUUAUUUAAACAUGAAACUAAUGUAGGCCUUUUGAUUUAUUGUGGUUGUUUUGUGCAAAACCAUUAUUUUUCAAUGAAUCAUUGAGGAAAGAUAUUGCUUUUGUCUUUGUAGCAAAUAUAAUUAAAUAAGUGAUUUUCCUCAA